rnacentral:rRNA from 1 species
GUGGGGAAUAUUGCACAAUGGGGGAAACCCUGAUGCAGCGACGCCGCGUGAGUGAAGAAGUAUUUCGGUAUGUAAAGCUCUAUCAGCAGGGAAGAAGUUGACGGUACCUGAGUAAGAAGCCCCGGCUAACUACGUGCCAGCAGCCGCGGUAAUACGUAGGGGGCAAGCGUUAUCCGGAUUUACUGGGUGUAAAGGGAGCGUAGACGGCAGUGCAAGUCUGAAGUGAAAGCCCCGGGCUUAACCCGGGAACUGCUUUGGAAACUGUACGGCUGGAGUGCUGGAGAGGUAAGCGGAAUUCCUAGUGUAGCGGUGAAAUGCGUAGAUAUUAGGAGGAACACCAGUGGCGAAGGCGGCUUACUGGACAGUAACUGACGUUGAGGCUCGAAAGCGUGGGGAGCAAACAGGA